rnacentral:misc_RNA from 1 species
CCAAUAGCGUAUAUUUAAGUUGUUGCAGUUAAAAAGCUCGUAGUUGAAUUUCGGGAUUGACACAUCGGUCGUGCCUUAAGGGGUAUGAACUGGUGUAGUCAAUUUCUCACCUUCUGGAGAACCGCGAUGCCCUUAAUUGGGUGCCACGGGGAACCAGGACCUUUACUUUGAAAAAAUUAGAGUGUUUAAAGCAGGCAUUUUGCUUGAAUACAUUAGCAUGGAAUAAUAAAAUAGGACGGCAUGAUUCUAUUUUGUUGGUUUGUAGGAUCACCGUAAUGAUUAAUAGGGAUAGUUGGGGGCAUUAGUAUUCAAUUGUCAGAGGUGAAAUUCUUGGAUUUAUUGAAGACUAACUACUGCGAAAGCAUUUGCCAAGGAUGUUUUCAUUAAUCAAGAACGAAAGUUAGGGGAUCGAAGACGAUCAGAUACCGUCGUAGUCUUAACCAUAAACUAUGCCGACUAGGAAUCAGACGAUGUUAAUUUUUUAAUGACUCGUUUGGCACCUUACG